GAGUGCAGUGCCAUGAGUGCUGCAUACUUGGGAUAUACUUUCGACAUUCAUGGAGGGGGGAUGGAUCUCGUGUUUCCUCAUCAUGAAAAUGAAAUUGCCCAGAGCUGUGCUGCUUGUAGGGAGAGCAACAUAACUUAUUGGAUACACAAUGGAUUUGUCAACAUUGACUCUCAGAAAAUGUCAAAGUCACUAGGGAACUUUUUCACAAUUCGGCAGGUGAUUGAUUUUUAUCACCCAUUGGCACUUAGGCUUUUCUUAAUUGGGACACAUUAUAGAUCUCCAAUCAAUUACACGAUUGUACAGAUUGAGAGUGCAUCUGACCGCCUUUUUUACAUAUAUCAGGCAUUAUAUGAUUGUCA
rnacentral:misc_RNA from 1 species